UCCUUAGAUGUUCUGGGCUGCACGCGCGCUACACUGAAGCUAUCAACACGUUUUCCCUCCCUGAGAAGGGCGGGUAACCUUUUGAAUCAGCUUCGUGGUAGGGAUCGGGGCUUGCAAUUGUUCCCCGUGAACCAGGAAUUCCUAGUAGACGCGAGUCAUAAGCUCGCAUCGAUUAAGUCCCUGCCCUUUGUACACACCGCCCGUCGCUACUACCGAUUGAACGUUUUAGUGAGGCAUUUGGACCGACGCAUCUCAGUUUAACCGCUGGUUUGUGUUGGAAAGACUUCCAAACUUGAGCGUUUAGAGGAAGUAAAAGUCGUAACA
rnacentral:rRNA from 1 species